rnacentral:lncRNA from 1 species
GGAUCGAGUCCAUAACCUCCGGAGGCACACUCUUCAUGUCGCCGUGAACGUCAUAUCGCUCGAAAUACACAGGAGCGUGCAUCGCAUCCAUGACUUGUUCAACGGCGCCAGUGACGAGCGGCCCGAUCCCGUCACCGGGGAUGAGAGUGACGGCGCGUGGUGUGCCAUCACCGGGUCGGGGCAUGUAGGUGACGGAUCGGGCUGACGUUAAUGAAUGGGAAAACCCAUGUGAUGGGGAUGGAGAUGAGGACUUGAGGAGGUGCU